AGAGUUUGAUCAUGGCUCAGAGCGAACGCUGGCGGCGUGCCUAAUACAUGCAAGUCGAACGAGAAAGUGGCUUCGGCCAUGAGUAAAGUGGCAGACGGGUGAGUAAUACUUAGGUAACCUGCCCAUAAGAUGGGGACAACCUUCCGAAAGGAGGGCUAAUACCGAAUGAGACCACUGUGGCUUCGGCCACAGAGGUUAAAGAUGGCCUCUACUUGUAAGCUAUCACUUAUGGAUGGGCCUAAGCACCAUUAGCUAGUUGGUAGGGUAACGGCCUACCAAGGCUAUGAUGGUUAGCUGAUCUGAGAGGUUGAUCAGCCACACUGGAACUGAGACACGGUCCAGACUCCUACGGGAGGCAGCAGUAGGGAAUAUUGCGCAAUGGGGGAAACCCUGACGCAGCGACGCCGCGUGGGUGAUGAAGGCUUUCGGGUCGUAAAGCCCUGUCGAGAGGGAAGAAUGACGAUAUGGCUAAUAUCCAUAUCGAGUGACGGUACCUCUAAAGGAAGCACCGGCUAACUACGUGCCAGCAGCCGCGGUAAUACGUAGGGUGCAAGCGUUGCUCGGAAUUAUUGGGCGUAAAGAGCGUGUAGGUGGCUAGGUAAGUCGGAUGUGAAAUCCCUGGGCUCAACCGAGGAAGUGCAUCGGAAACUACCUAGCUCGAGGACGGCAGAGGGAGGUGGAAUUCCUAGUGUAGAGGUGAAAUUCGUAGAUAUUAGGAGGAAUACCGGUGGCGAAGGCAGCCUCCUGGACCGUUCCUGACACUGAGACGCGAAAGCGUGGGUAGCAAACAGGAUUAGAUACCCUAGUAGUCC
rnacentral:rRNA from 1 species